AGUGAACGCUGGCGGUAGGCCUAACACAUGCAAGUCGAACGGCAGCACAGUAAGAGCUUGCUCUUACGGGUGGCGAGUGGCGGACGGGUGAGGAAUACAUCGGAAUCUACUUUUUCGUGGGGGAUAACGUAGGGAAACUUACGCUAAUACCGCAUACGACCUACGGGUGAAAGCAGGGGAUCCUCGGACCUUGCGCGAUUGAAUGAGCCGAUGUCGGAUUAGCUAGUUGGCGGGGUAAAGGCCCACCAAGGCGACGAUCCGUAGCUGGUCUGAGAGGAUGAUCAGCCACACUGGAACUGAGACACGGUCCAGACUCCUACGGGAGGCAGCAGUGGGGAAUAUUGGACAAUGGGCGCAAGCCUGAUCCAGUCAUACUGCGUGGGUGAAGAAGGCCUUCGGGUUGUAAAGCCCUUUUGUUGGGAAAGAAAAGCAGCAGGUUAAUACCCCGCUGUUCUGACGGUACCCAAAGAAUAAGCACCGGCUAACUUCGUG
rnacentral:rRNA from 1 species